UACGGAGGGUGCGAGCGUUGUCCGGAAUCAUUGGGCGUAAAGGGCGCGUAGGCGGCCGUUCAAGUCGGGGGUGAAAGCCUGUGGCUCAACCACAGAAUGGCCUUCGAUACUGGACGGCUCGAGACCGGAAGAGGUCAGUGGAACUGCGAGUGUAGAGGUGAAAUUCGUAGAUAUUCGCAAGAACACCAGUGGCGAAGGCGGCUGACUGGUCCGGUUCUGACGCUGAGGCGCGAAAGCGUGGGGAGCAAACAGG
rnacentral:rRNA from 1 species